GCAAGGAACUUGAUUAAUAAACUCGCGA
rnacentral:sRNA from 1 species